rnacentral:rRNA from 1 species
UACGUAGGCAGCGAGCGUUGUUCGGAGUUACUGGGCGUAAAGGGUGUGUAGGCGGUUGUUUAAGUUUGGUGUGAAAUCUCCCGGCUCAACUGGGAGGGUGCGCCGAAUACUGAAUGACUUGGAGUGCGGGAGAGGAGAGUGGAAUUUCUGGUGUAGCGGUGAAAUGCGUAGAUAUCAGGAGGAACACCGGUGGUGUAGACGGCUCUCUGGACCGUAACUGACGCUGAGACACGAAAGCGUGGGUAGCAAACAGG